UACGUAGGGGGCUAGCGUUGUCCGGAAUCAUUGGGCGUAAAGGGUGCGUAGGCGGCGCGGUAAGUCGGGUGUGAAAUCUCGGAGCUUAACUCCGAAACUGCAUUCGAUACUGCCGUGCUUGAGGACUGGAGAGGAGACUGGAAUUUACGGUGUAGCGGUGAAAUGCGUAGAUAUCGGGAGGAACACCUGUGGCGAAAGCGGCUCACUGGACCAUAACUGACGCUGAGGCACGAAAGCUAGGGGAGCAAACAGG
rnacentral:rRNA from 1 species